AUGAAAUGUUAGGACGCUCUUUUUAGAGGUCCGACCCAAUUCAUUUUACCUUUCACACUGUGCACAUCACUACUUUUUUACACCCAUUUUUAAAACACUUUAAAAAGUUCCAAGAAUGUAAAACCAAGUCUCUUAACUGAGCAUAAACAUAAACA
rnacentral:misc_RNA from 1 species